UUAAGCAGUAAAUUGAUGUAAAAAUCAGUGGUUGUAAAAGAAUUCGGUGGAGCGGUAGUUCAGUUGGUUAGAAUACCUGCCUGUCACGCAGGGGGUCGCGGGUUCGAGUCCCGUCCGUUCCGCCACUUAUUAAGAGCCCUGAGCAUUAGCUCAGGGCUUUUUCUUUGCCUGCGAUUUAAUUAUUGCUCAAUUCGCAAAAAUCCUCUGCAUUUCUCGCUCUUUUUCUACAAAGCGCUGAAGGUCAUAAUCCCCUCAGUUAACGAACAUAGUGAUUAAAAAGAGGAAUUCUAUGACUAUCCCUGCAUUCGGUUUAGGUACUUUUCGCCUGAAAGACGACGUGGUUAUCGCUUCUGUGAAAACGGCGCUUGAACUGGGCUACCGUGCUGUCGACACUGCGCAAAUCUAUGAUAAUGAAGCGGCUGUUGGACAGGCGAUUGCUGAGAGCGGCGUACCGCGUAAUGAGCUGUACAUCACCACCAAGAUCUGGAUUGAAAACCUUAGCAAAGACAAGCUAAUCCCAAGCCUGAAAGAGAGCCUGAAAAAACUGCGUACCGAUUAUGUCGAUCUGACGCUGAUCCACUGGCCAUCUCCGGGUGAUGCCGUGUCUGUCGAAGAAUUUAUGCAGGCAUUGCUGGAAGCUAAAAAACAAGGGCUGACUCGCGAAAUUGGCAUCUCAAACUUCACUAUUCCGUUGAUGGAAAAGGCUAUUGCCGCGGUGGGCGCAGACCAUAUCGCCACCAACCAGAUUGAGCUAUCUCCGUAUCUGCAGAAUCGUAAGGUGGUUGACUGGGCGAAAGCGCACGGUAUCCAUAUCACCUCUUACAUGACGCUGGCAUACGGUAAAGCGCUGAAAGAUGAAGUGAUUGCGCGCAUUGCGGUUAAACAUAAUGCGACCCCGGUGCAGGUUAUUCUGGCAUGGGCAAUGGGCGAAGGUUACUCGGUGAUCCCUUCAUCCACCAGGCGUGAAAACCUGGCAAGCAACCUGCUGGCGCAGGAUCUGCAUCUGGAUGCCGAAGANACACGAAAGUGGACGUAUACGGUGUGACGCCUGCCCGGUGCCGGAAGGUUAAUUGAUGGGGUCAGCGCAAGCGAAGCUCCUGAUCGAAGCCCCGGUAAACGGCGGCCGUAACUAUAACGGUCCUAAGGUAGCGAAAUUCCUUGUCGGGUAAGUUCCGACCUGCACGAAUGGCGUAAUGAUGGCCAGGCUGUCUCCACCCGAGACUCAGUGAAAUUGAACUCGCUGUGAAGAUGCAGUGUACCCGCGGCAAGACGGAAAGACCCCGUGAACCUUUACUAUAGCUUGACACUGAACAUUGAGCCUUGAUGUGUAGGAUAGGUGGGAGGCUUUGAAGUGUGGACGCCAGUCUGCAUGGAGCCGACCUUGAAAUACCACCCUUUAAUGUUUGAUGUUCUAACGUGGACCCGUGAUCCGGGUUGCGGACAGUGUCUGGUGGGUAGUUUGACUGGGGCGGUCUCCUCCUAAAGAGUAACGGAGGAGCACGAAGGUUGGCUAAUCCUGGUCGGACAUCAGGAGGUUAGUGCAAUGGCAUAAGCCAGCUUGACUGCGAGCGUGACGGCGCGAGCAGGUGCGAAAGCAGGUCAUAGUGAUCCGGUGGUUCUGAAUGGAAGGGCCAUCGCUCAACGGAUAAAAGGUACUCCGGGGAUAACAGGCUGAUACCGCCCAAGAGUUCAUAUCGACGGCGGUGUUUGGCACCUCGAUGUCGGCUCAUCACAUCCUGGGGCUGAAGUAGGUCCCAAGGGUAUGGCUGUUCGCCAUUUAAAGUGGUACGCGAGCUGGGUUUAGAACGUCGUGAGACAGUUCGGUCCCUAUCUGCCGUGGGCGCUGGAGAACUGAGGGGGGCUGCUCCUAGUACGAGAGGACCGGAGUGGACGCAUCACUGGUGUUCGGGUUGUCAUGCCAAUGGCACUGCCCGGUAGCUAAAUGCGGAAGAGAUAAGUGCUGAAAGCAUCUAAGCACGAAACUUGCCCCGAGAUGAGUUCUCCCUGAGACUUUAGGUCUCCUGAAGGAACGUUGAAGACGACGACGUUGAUAGGCCGGGUGUGUAAGCGCAGCGAUGCGUUGAGCUAACCGGUACUAAUGAACCGUGAGGCUUAACCUU
rnacentral:rRNA from 1 species